UACAGAGGCCUCAAGCGUUGUUCGGAAUCACUGGGCGUAAAGGGUGCGUAGGUGGCGCCGUAAGUCGGGUGUGAAAUUUCGGAGCUUAACUCCGAAACUGCAUUCGAUACUGCGGUGCUUGAGGACUGGAGAGGAGACUGGAAUUCAUGGUGUAGCAGUGAAAUGCGUAGAGAUCAUGAGGAAGACCAGUGGCGAAGGCGGGUCUCUGGACAGUUCCUGACACUGGAGGCACGAAGGCCAGGGGAGCAAACGGG
rnacentral:rRNA from 1 species